CGGAGCCUGGAGAUGGGGACUGAGACAAGGCCCCAGGCCCAACGGGGCGCAGCAGGCGCGAAAACUCCGCAAUGCGCGCAAGCGUGACGGGGGGAUCCCAAGUGCCGUUGGUCUUUUGAUCGACGGCUUUUAGGAAGUCUAGGAAGCUUCCAGAAUAAGGGCUGGGCAAGACUGGUGCCAGCCGCCGCGGUAACACCAGCAGCCCAAGUGGUGGCCACGAUUAUUGGGCCUAAAGCGCUCGUAGCCGGAUCAAUAAGUCCCUUGUGAAAUCGGGCCGCCCAACGGUUCGGCGUGCAAGGGAUACUGUUGGUCUUGAGGCCGGGAGAGGUCGGAGGUACUCCUGGGGUAGCGGUGAAAUGCUCUAAUCCUAGGGGGACCACCAGUGGCGAAGGCGUCCGACCAGAACGGACCUGACGGUGAGGGGCGAAGGCUAGGGGAGCGAACGGGAUUAGAUACCCCGGUAGUCCUAGCUGUAAAGCAUGCGGGCCAGGUGUCUAGCGCUCCUUGAGGGCGCUAUGUGCCGGAGGGAAGCCGUUAAGCCCGCCGCCUGGGAAGUACGGUCGCAAGGCUGAAACUUAAAGAAAUUGGCGGGGGAGCACCACAAGAGGUGGGACCUGCGGUUCAAUUGGAUUCAACGCCGGAAAACUCACCAGGGGCGACAGUUGGAUGAAAGCCAGGUUGACGACCUUGCCCGACUAGCUGAGAGGUGGUGCAUGGCCAUCGUCAGCUCGUACCGUGAGGCGUCCUGUCAAGUCAGGCAACGAGCGAGAUCCUCGCCCUUAGUUGCCAUCGGUGGAAAGCCGGGCACUCUAGGGGGACCGCUGGCGCUAAGUCAGAGGAAGGAGAGGGCGACGGUAGGUCAGUAUGCCCCGAAUCCCCUGGGCUACACGCGGGUCACAAUGCGCAGGACAAUGAGAUGCAACCCCGUGAGGGGAAGCCAAACCCUUAAACCUGCGCUCGGUUCGGAUCGAGGGCUGUAACUCGCCCUCGUGAAGCUGGAAUCCCUAGUAAUCGCGCGUCAACACCGCGCGGUGAAUGCGUCCCUGCUCCUUGCACACACCGCCCGUCAAGCCACUCGAGUGGGGUUUGGAUGAGGUCAGUUCAAGUUGGGCUGCUCGAAUCCGAGUUCUGCAAGAGGGGCU
rnacentral:rRNA from 1 species